rnacentral:rRNA from 1 species
UACAGAGGGUGCGAGCGUUAAUCGGAAUUACUGGGCGCAAAGCGUGCGUAGACGGUUUUGUAAGUCGGAUGUGAAAUCCCCGGGCUCAACCUGGGAAUUGCAUUCGAGACUGCAAGGCUUGGGUGCGGAAGAGGGAAGCGGAAUUUCCGGUGUAGCGGUGAAAUGCGUAGAUAUCGGAAGGAACAUCAGUGGCGAAAGCGGCUUCCUGGUCCAGCACCGACGUUCAGGCACGAAAGCGUGGGGAGCAAACAGG